UUCCUAACAUAGCACUCGCAAGCAGAGAGAGGAGUGAAGAGAGAGAAACCCUUGCUUUCUUUAUCCGAACAAGCAACAAAGGCUGGAGGAGAGGAAUAGAAGCCCAACGUAAGCGAUCCGUCUCAGUCAAGCUAGAGCGAGGAGGAGAGGAAUAGAAGCCCAACGUCGGCGAUAAGUCUCAGGCAGCCAGAGAGAGAAGUUGCAGAGGUCGCAGCUAGAGAGAGAAGGUUCGCAGUCCAGAUCUGGGCUCGUCGGACCCAGGCGAGGAAGAGAUAGUCUCGUCGGAGUCAGGCGAGGCUGUUCGCAGAUCUAGAUGCUCGUCGGACCCAGGCGAGGAAGAGAUAGUCUCGUCGGAGUCAGGCGAGGCUGUUCGCAGAUCUAGAUCAAAGCAGAAGCGUUGGUUGUCGGAGCUGGACGAGAUUUGUGCGGGGAUCUGAGAAGCCCUCGUCGGAGGUCGGAGGAUGUGCGACGGCGCGGGGGGCACAGGUUCAGGUUAGGGUUUAUGGCUCUGGUACCAUGGCUUAACUAUGUAUUCUCAUUGAGCUAAAUAGAUUAUACAAAAUGUAUUUAUACUAACCUAAUAAUAAGAGAAAAUACUAAAUUACUUUAGGAAGCUAACAAAAAUACAAAUAUAUAUAUAUAUAUAUAUAUAUAUUUCCUGAUGACUAUCGCCUCAAUUUCCUGAUGACUAUUACUUGCCACCGUCGCCGGACUUCUUUGGCCGUCACUUCAGUGGCGACACUUCCUUGCUGUCGUCACCCACCGACAACGUGUCUACUCUACGUGAUCUCUCCAAGUAUUCUCGCGUUGAGACACGUUUGUGUCUCAAUAAAUACAUUCUUGACCCUUGCUUCGCUUCAUUCUUAACUUUUUGUGCGUGCACGCG
rnacentral:lncRNA from 1 species